UAAUAUGCUCUGGUGUAAAGUGCACACAAAGCUUUGAUCUUUAGGGGAAUGGUGUUAAUUCCAUUGGGUGUAA
rnacentral:tRNA from 1 species